UUUUCCCUUGCUGCUGUCUUCGGCAGCCCUGUACUGAGUUACUUGAAAACCUGGGUCUUAUUUAAAAAGCUCAGAUGGGACCUGUUUUGAAAAUCAAUCUAAUACUUACAGACUUUUCUUUGAUUUCUCAGGAGUAAAGCCAAGUCAGCUUGCUGCAGGGAAGGAAGAAAACUCAGGAUGAGCUUGUGUCUCUGGACUUUUUUUUUUUUUUUUAACCUGUCCUAAGUUGACGUCUCUAGAUGCUGCACGCACCCAAAAAGCCAGACUGAGACAACACUCUGCCAGAGGCCAAGAGAAAGGUUGGAGUGAAGCUGGGGAAUACUCUCUGCAGUGGGACAGCUUGGGUGCAGGAAGAGGAGGUGGCACAAAUGAGCUGUGUUCACCUGCUCGCCCUCGCAUCGUUCCUGGUACUGGCUCCUGCAGAGAGACCCUCUGGGGGUGUCCCUGGGUGUGCAAUCCACCGUGGGACUGGCGUGGCAGGUCCAGACUGACAGCAGCAGCAGCAGGGGAGGGAGUGAAGGAAAUCCCAACACCCAUGGUAGAGAAAGCAGCCGGUGAGCAGCGCAGAGAGCCGUGCCCUGUAGCCCAUCCUUCAUCCUAAGGAAAGCUGAAACAUUUCCAGCCCACAGCGAGGUGCCUGGGGUGCCCCAGCUGGGACGCACGUGCCUUCCUCCCCCGGCACCCCGGCCGGCACACGCCGCCUGCCCCGACCUGCACCCCUCCCGACUUACACAAGAGCAAACGGAAAACACGGAUCACAUUUCUCCUAAAACCUGCCACGAAACAAACCCGAUGCCACUUUUGGGGAGCUGGAGAAAGGGAGGGUUUAAAAUGAAACGUUUCUGUACGAUGAGAGGGUUUAAGUGAAAUGUUUCUGUACGAUGGAAAGAUCAUUAAGCCGAGCUUUGCAGCGAUGUCUGUCCGCACCUAUUGCCAGGUUCUCACAUCAGAAAGCUUCACCCAGCUCUAAAUCUGGGACUAGAGCAUCCGCUGAUGCUUGCAAAGAGGCUACAAGAGAGCACAGAGAGGUAGGGGCUGUCUGUACCCACAAGCUGGCUGUUAACUCUGAAGACUAAUGACGUCAGGGCAAACAACAGCAAGAACGAUCUUGUUUCUAAAGAAGCCUACAAGAAAGAUGAUACAUUCCCUUUCUUUUUGUAAACUAAAGUGCCUUUCUGUGUUCAUCCCUGAAGUGACUGCCACUACCCACCUGCAAGGAGCAAUGGGGAUACUUAAAUCAGCCCCACCAGCCCCGUGGUGAGGUUAUGGGGAUGAAUGAGGCUGGGGUCGUGUCUGUCCCGUUAGGAGACGGCUGACAAGUGGAAGAGAUGAAGCAGAGGGAUGUCCCCGGCUCUUUGGAGCAGCCCCACCAAGGCCCCGAGGUGCACAAGCAGCAGCUGUGGGGGCUGCCAUGGCCCCUCUCACCAAGGGGUUCGGUCGCCCCCAGCCGGGGCCACCCCGGGGUGGCCAGAACAACCCCUCUGGUCUUGUCUCCCUCAGACAGCAGCACUUCAAGCAUGCAGAGUCCCAGAUUUGCCUUAAAUCAGAAAUUGUUUCUUGUGGGAUUUAAAUUCCUUGACAUUGC